rnacentral:sRNA from 1 species
UGAAAUGGAGAAAGACUAAAAGCAAAUGAUAAAGGAAGCUUUUGCUGGGGAUGAUAUCAUCAAAGAGUUCCUAAAAGAGAAGAGAAAAACUAUCCAGGCCAAUAAGCCAAAGGACAUGGAUCCGACUUUGCCUGGCUGGGGAUAGUGGGACAGCAUGAACCUGAAGCCCGGAACCAAGAAAAGACACAGUAUUUGGCUUUCAAGAUUUCUUAUUAAGGACCCUGAAGAUCCUCCAAGAAAAGAUAAGAAUUUGCCCAAUGUGCUUGUUAGUGAGAAGUACAACAUUAACAUUACAGCACACCAGAAAAACUCACGGAAUUACAAACUGAACUGUACUGACAGCACUGAGUUCAGGAACUGAACAGAACUAAAGGAACUCAACUGAACUCAAUUGAUUCCUACAGAACUGCACUGAAAGCAACUGCAUUCAA